UCUGAUACAAAAGCAUAAUAACAUCACACAAUUGAAUUGAAAUACGUAACAUAGUAAUCAAGAAAUCAUUGGUUCAAAUUCAUAGCAUGCGAUAACAUCAGGACCACCCCCCUAGCAUCAAGGGGUUUAGCCUCUCAUAGUACUUAAAGAACUCAUAAUGUAAAGAUUAGACAUUACAAAGAAUCAGGAGAGUUUGAUCUUCAAUGGUUGAUGCCCUUGAAUCUCGCCGUCUUCAAAUCCUUCGUAUUCGCU
rnacentral:lncRNA from 1 species